rnacentral:rRNA from 1 species
CAAUAGCGUAUAUUAAAGUUGUUGCAGUUAAAAAGCUCGUAGUUGGAUUUUGGCGUGUUUGCAAUGGUCUGCCGUGAGGUAUGCACUGUUGUGGGCACGCUUCUUCUCAAAGACUGCGUGUGCUCUUAAUUGAGUGUGCGUAGGGUUUGGGACUUUUACUGUGAGAAAAUUAGAGUGUUUAAAGCAGGCGUUUGCUUGAAUAUUGCAGCAUGGAAUAAUGGAAUAGGAUCACGAUCUUAUUUUGUUGGUUUCUAGGAUCGAGAUAAUGAUUAAUAGGGAUAGUUGGGGACAUUAAUAUUUAAUUGUCAGAGGUGAAAUUCUUGGAUUUAUGAAAGAUUAACUUCUGCGAAAGCAUUUGUCAAGGAUGUUUUCGUUAAUCAAGAACGAAAGUUAGGGGAUCGAAGACGAUCAGAUACCAU